AGAGAGUACAGCUCAGUGGUAGAAUGCGUGCUUGGUGUGCAUAAGGUCCUGGGUUCAAUCCCCAGUGCCUCUG
rfam:Camelus ferus unplaced genomic scaffold scaffold777, whole genome shotgun sequence.